CCUACGGGUGGCUGCAGUGGGGAAUAUUGGGCAAUGGGCGAAAGCCUGACCCAGCAACGCCGCGUGAAGGAAGAAGGCUUUCGGGUUGUAAACUUCUUUUGACAGGGAAGAGCAGCAGACGGUACCUGUCGAAUAAGCCACGGCUAACUACGUGCCACCAGCCGCGGUAAUACGUAGGUGGCAAGCGUUGUCCGGAUGUACUGGGUGUAAAGGGCUGGUAGCCGGGCUGACAAGUCAGAUGUGAAAUCCGGGGGCUCAACCCCCGAACUGCAUUUGAAACUGUUGGUCUUGAGUAUCGGAGAGGCAGGCGGAAUUCCUAGUGUAGCGGUGAAAUGCGUAGAUAUUAGGAGGAACAUCAGUGGCGAAGGCGACUAUCUGGCACAUAACUGACGCUGAGGAGCGAAAGCGUGGGUAGCAAACAGGAUUAGAUACCCCAGUAGUC
rnacentral:rRNA from 1 species